AAAGAAUACCUGGACAGCCUGCCACCCUAUUGCUCCAAAAUGAAAAUCCUCUAACAGGGUCAACUGGUGGCAGGGAACAAAACCCCGCUGAGACUGGCUGAAACACAAGUGGGGCCUGUGCUCAGGGUGCAGGAAGUGGAGCAUCCAAGGGGAGAGUGUUCACAGCAUCUUCACCAGGAUUAGAUUUCAUCUCAAGAAACCACUCUGCUCAUCCGUCAUGGAGAUGGCUUAUUUCCUUAAACCUCAUGAACCAACCUCUACUAGCUUCAGAUUUUUCUUCUGCAGUUUCCUCACCUCUGUCAGCCUCCAUACAACUGAAGAGAGUUAAGGGCUUGCUCUGGAUUAGGUAUUGGCUUAAGGGAAUGUCAUGGCUGGUUUGAUCCUCUAUCCAGACCACUAAAACUUUCUAUCAGCAAUAA
rnacentral:lncRNA from 1 species